rnacentral:rRNA from 1 species
AACGCUAGCGGCAAGCCUAACACAUGCAAGUCGAACGGUAACUUUUGGUGCUUGCACCGAAAGACGAGUGGCGAACGGGUGCGUAACGCGUAUGCAAUCUACCUUUUACUAGGGUAUAGCCCGAAGAAAUUUGGAUUAAUCCCCUAUAAUAUCAUGAAUUCGCAUGAUUUUAUGAUUAAAGCUUCGGCGGUAAAAGAUGAGCAUGCGUCCUAUUAGUUAGUAGGUGAGGUAACGGCUCACCUAGACUACGAUAGGUAGGGGUCCUGAGAGGGAGAUCCCCCACACUGGUACUGAGACACGGACCAGACUCCUACGGGAGGCAGCAGUGAGGAAUAUUGGACAAUGGACGAAAGUCUGAUCCAGCUAUGCCGCGUGCAGGAUGACGGCCCUAUGGGUUGUAAACUGCUUUUAUACAGGAAGAAAAAAUCCGACGUGUCGGAUCUUGACGGUACUGUAAGAAUAAGGAUCGGCUAAC